rnacentral:rRNA from 1 species
UGGGGAAUUUUGGACAAUGGGCGAAAGCCUGAUCCAGCAAUGCCGCGUGUGUGAAGAAGGCCUUCGGGUUGUAAAGCACUUUUGUCCGGAAAGAAAUGGCUCUGGUUAAUACCUGGGGUCGAUGACGGUACCGGAAGAAUAAGGACCGGCUAACUACGUGCCAGCAGCCGCGGUAAUACGUAGGGUCCAAGCGUUAAUCGGAAUUACUGGGCGUAAAGCGUGCGCAGGCGGUUGUGCAAGACCGAUGUGAAAUCCCCGAGCUUAACUUGGGAAUUGCAUUGGUGACUGCACGGCUAGAGUGUGUCAGAGGGGGGUAGAAUUCCACGUGUAGCAGUGAAAUGCGUAGAGAUGUGGAGGAAUACCGAUGGCGAAGGCAGCCCCCUGGGAUAACACUGACGCUCAUGCACGAAAGCGUGGGGAGCAAACAGGAUUAGAUACCCUGGUAGUCCACGCCCUAAACGAUGUCAACUAGUUGUUGGGGGAUUCAUUUCCUUAGUAACGUAGCUAACGCGUGAAGUUGGA